rnacentral:rRNA from 1 species
AACGAACGCUGGCGGCAUGCCUAACACAUGCAAGUCGAACGAGACCUUCGGGUCUAGUGGCGCACGGGUGCGUAACGCGUGGGAACCUGCCCUUAGGUUCGGAUUAACUCCCCGAAAGGGGUGCUAAUACCGGAUAAUGUCCUCGGUACAAAGAUUUAUCGCCUUUGGAUGGGCCCGCGUUGGAUUAGCUAGUUGGUAGGGUAAAAGCCUCCCAAGGCGACGAUCCAUAGCUGGUCUGAGAGGAUGAUCAGCCACACUGGGACUGAGACACGGCCCAGACUCCUACGGGAGGCAGCAGUGGGGAAUAUUGGACAAUGGGCGAAAGCCUGAUCCAGCAAUGCCGCGUGAGUGAUGAAGGCCUUAGGGUUGUAAAGCUCUUUUACCCGGGAUGAUAAUGACAGUACCGGGAGAAUAAGCACCGGCUAACUCCGUG